CGCAUCUGUGCAUGCAGCAUAUCAAUAAGCGGAGGAAAAGAAACUAACAAGGAUUCCCCUAGUAACGGCGAGUGAAGCGGGAAGAGCUCAAAUUGAAAUCUUAAAGGGUUUCCCUUUACGAAUUGUAGUUUAAAGAAGUGUUUUCUGUUGAGGUUUUGGUAAAAGUUCUUUGGAAUAGGACAUCAUAGAGGGUGAGAAUCCCGUAUUUGACCUUUACUUUCAACUUUGUGAUACACUUUCAAAGAGUCGGAUUGUUUGGGAAUGCAGUCCAAAAUGGGUGGUAAAUUUCAUCUAAAGCUAAAUAUUGGCGAGAGACCGAUAGCGAACAAGUACCGUGAGGGAAAGAUGAAAAGAACUUUGAAAAGAGAGUUAAACAGUACGUGAAAUUGUCAAAAGGGAAGCGUUUGACACCAGUGUUGUUUUUCUGAAAAUCAAUUAAAGAACUGUUUAUGCUAAGUUGUUUAGACUUUAUCAGCUAACUGUUUAGUUUUGAGCUUUUCUUUAAUGCACUUUUCAGUUAACAAGUCAACAUCAAUUUCUUUUGCUGUAAAAAAGCUUGAGGAAGGUGGCUUGAGAUUCGUCUUAAGUGUUUAUAGCCUCUUGCCUAUGCAGUCGGAGAGAUUGAGGUCUGCAGCGUAGAUCCUUCGGGGCUAAAUGCAUUUGUGCUAAGUUAUAACAUUUUAUAGGACAACUUGUUGACUAUGAUUUGUCUUGUAGCUUACUCGCUUAUGUUAUUUUACCUACGCUUAGGAUGUUGAACGCGCACAGAGUCUC
rnacentral:rRNA from 1 species